AAAAAUUUAGUUAAAUAAAUAACGUUAGUUUGUCAAACUAAAAUUAUUUUAAAUAAAUAAUUUUUU
rnacentral:tRNA from 1 species